GCCAACGUAGCUCAAUCGGUAGAGCGGCGCAUUCGUAAUGCGUAGGUUGAGGGUUCGAGUCCCUCCGUUGGCUCCA
rnacentral:tRNA from 2 species